UCCAGUGACCAUAGUAGAAAUAAAAAACCCGUUCCCAUUCCGAUCACGGUAGUUAAGGUUUCUGCGCCGAUGGUACUGUCUAACGACGGGAGAGUAGGUAUUGCUGGGG
rnacentral:rRNA from 1 species